ACGAACGCUGGCGGCGUGCCUAAUACAUGCAAGUAGAACGCUGAAGAGAGGAGCUUGCUCUUCUUGGAUGAGUUGCGAACGGGUGAGUAACGCGUAGGUAACCUGCCUUGUAGCGGGGGAUAACUAUUGGAAACGAUAGCUAAUACCGCAUAACAAUGGAUGACACAUGUCAUUUAUUUGAAAGGGGCAAUUGUUCCACUACAAGAUGGACCUGCGUUGUAUUAGCUAGUAGGUGAGGUAAUGGCUCACCUAGGCGACGAUACAUAGCCGACCUGAGAGGGUGAUCGGCCACACUGGGACUGAGACACGGCCCAGACUCCUACGGGAGGCAGCAGUAGGGAAUCUUCGGCAAUGGGGGCAACCCUGACCGAGCAACGCCGCGUGAGUGAAGAAGGUUUUCGGAUCGUAAAGCUCUGUUGUAAGUCAAGAACGGGUGUGAGAGUGGAAAGUUCACACUGUGACGGUAGCUUACCAGAAAGGGACGGCUAACUACGUGCCAGCAGCCGCGGUAAUACGUAGGUCCCGAGCGUUGUCCGGAUUUAUUGGGCGUAAAGCGAGCGCAGGCGGUUUGAUAAGUCUGAAGUUAAAGGCUGUGGCUCAACCAUAGUUCGCUUUGGAAACUGUCAAACUUGAGUGCAGAAGGGGAGAGUGGAAUUCCAUGUGUAGCGGUGAAAUGCGUAGAUAUAUGGAGGAACACCGGUGGCGAAAGCGGCUCUCUGGUCUGUAACUGACGCUGAGGCUCGAAAGCGUGGGGAGCGAACAGGAUUAGAUACCCUGGUAGUCCACGCCGUAAACGAUGAGUGCUAGGUGUUGGAUCCUUUCCGGGAUUCAGUGCCGCAGCUAACGCAUUAAGCACUCCGCCUGGGGAGUACGACCGCAAGGUUGAAACUCAAAGGAAUUGACGGGGGCCCGCACAAGCGGUGGAGCAUGUGGUUUAAUUCGAAGCAACGCGAAGAACCUUACCAGGUCUUGACAUCCCGAUGCUAUUUCUAGAGAUAGAAAGUUACUUCGGUACAUCGGUGACAGGUGGUGCAUGGUUGUCGUCAGCUCGUGUCGUGAGAUGUUGGGUUAAGUCCCGCAACGAGCGCAACCCUUAUCUUUAGUAGCCAGCGGUCCGGCCGGGCACUCUAGAGAGACUGCCAGGGAUAACCUGGAGGAAGGCGGGGAUGACGUCAAAUCAUCAUGCCCCUUAUGACCUGGGCUACACACGUGCUACAAUGGUUGGUACAACGAGUUGCGAGUCGGUGACGGCGAGCUAAUCUCUUAAAGCCAAUCUCAGUUCGGAUUGUAGGCUGCAACUCGCCUACAUGAAGUCGGAAUCGCUAGUAAUCGCGGAUCAGCACGCCGCGGUGAAUACGUUCCCGGGCCUUGUACACACCGCCCGUCACACCACGAGAGUUUGUAACACCCGAAGUCGGUGAGGUAACCUUUUGGAGCCAGCCGCCUAAGGUGGGACAGAUGAUUGGGGUG
rnacentral:rRNA from 1 species